GAUGGCGACCGGCGCACGGGUGAGUAACACGUAUCCAACCUGCCGAUAACUCGGGGAUAGCCUUUCGAAAGAAAGAUUAAUACCCGAUGGUAUAAUCAGACCGCAUGGUCUUUGUUAUUAAAGAAUUUCGGUUAUCGAUGGGGAUGCGUUCCAUUAGGCAGUUGGUGAGGUAACGGCUCACCAAACCUUCGAUGGAUAGGGGUUCUGAGAGGAAGGUCCCCCACAUUGGAACUGAGACACGGUCCAA
rnacentral:rRNA from 1 species